ACUGUGGAGUGUACAAGAACUUGUGAGUAGCAUCUAAAUUUAUUUAGUGUGAAAGCAUACACAUUGAAGCAGUAA
rnacentral:ncRNA from 1 species